AGCGGCGGACGGGUUAGUAACGCGUGGGAACGUACCCUUCUCUAAGGAAUAGCCACUGGAAACGGUGAGUAAUACCUUAUACGCCCUUCGGGGGAAAGAUUUAUCGGAGAAGGAUCGGCCCGCGUAAGAUUAGAUAGUUGGUGGGGUAAUGGCCUACCAAGUCUACGAUCUUUAGCUGGUUUUAGAGGAUGAUCAGCAACACUGGGACUGAGACACGGCCCAGACUCCUACGGGAGGCAGCAGUGGGGAAUCUUAGACAAUGGGCGCAAGCCUGAUCUAGCCAUGCCGCGUGUGUGACGAAGGCCUUAGGGUCGUAAAGCACUUUCGCCUGUGAUGAUAAUGACAGUAGCAGGUAAAGAAACCCCGGCUAACUCCGUGCCAGCAGCCGCGGUAAUACGGAGGGGGUUAGCGUUGUUCGGAAUUACUGGGCGUAAAGCGCACGUAGGCGGAUUGGAAAGUAUGGGGUGAAAUCCCAGGGCUCAACCCUGGAACUGCCUCAUAAACUUCCAGUCUAGAGUUCGAGAGAGGUGAGUGGAAUUCCGAGUGUAGAGGUGAAAUUCGUAGAUAUUCGGAGGAACACCAGUGGCGAAGGCGGCUCACUGGCUCGAUACUGACGCUGAGGUGCGAAAGUGUGGGGAGCAAACAGGAUUAGAUACCCUGGUAGUCCACACCGA
rnacentral:rRNA from 1 species